rnacentral:rRNA from 2 species
AAACUUUCAACAACGGAUCUCUUGGUUCCGGCAUCGAUGAAGAACGCAGCGAAAUGCGAUAAUUAAUGUGAAUUGCAGAAUUCAGUGAAUCAUCGAGUCUUUGAACGCACAUUGCACCCCCUGGUAUUCCGGGGGGUAUGCCUGUCCGAGCGUCAUU